GCAAGUCGAGCGCGAACGGUCUUCGGGCUUAUUAGAGCGGCGGACGGGUGAGUAAUGCUUGGGAAUCUACCUAGUAGUGGGGGACAACAGUUGGAAACGACUGCUAAUACCGCAUACGCCCUACGGGGGAAAGGGGGGGAUCUUCGGACCUCUCGCUAUUGGAUGAGCCCAAGUCGGAUUAGCUAGUUGGUAGGGUAAUGGCUUACCAAGGCGACGAUCCGUAGCUGGUUUGAGAGGAUGAUC
rnacentral:rRNA from 1 species